rnacentral:rRNA from 1 species
AACUAUAACGGUCCUAAGGUAGCGAAAUUCCUUGUCAGGUAAGUUCUGACCCGCACGAAAGGCGUAACGAUUUGGGCACUGUCUCAACAAGAGACUCGGUGAAAUUAUAGUACCUGUGAAGAUGCAGGUUACCCGCGACAGGACGGAAAGACCCCGUGGAGCUUUACUGUAGCCUGAUAUUGAAUUUUGGUGCAACUUGUACAGGAUAGGUAGGAGCCAAUGAACCCGGAGCGCCAGCUUCGGUGGAGGCGUCGGGUCGACGCGGCCG